GGGGGUGCUCAUACCGAAGAGGCCACACCCGUUCCCAUUCCGAAUACGGCCGUUAAGCUCUUCUGGGCCAAUGGUACUUCCUUCGCAAGGAGGUGGGAGAGUAGGUCGGUGCCCCCA
rnacentral:rRNA from 1 species